GACGAACGCUGGCGGCGUGCUUAACACAUGCAAGUCGAACGGAAAGGCCCUGCUUUUGUGGGGUGCUCGAGUGGCGAACGGGUGAGUAACACGUGAGUAACCUGCCCUUGACUUUGGGAUAACUUCAGGAAACUGGGGCUAAUACCGGAUAGGAGCUCCUGCUGCAUGGUGGGGGUUGGAAAGUUUCGGCGGUUGGGGAUGGACUCGCGGCUUAUCAGCUUGUUGGUGGGGUAGUGGCUUACCAAGGCUUUGACGGGUAGCCGGCCUGAGAGGGUGACCGGCCACAUUGGGACUGCGAGACGGCGCAGACUCCUACGGGAGGCAGCAGUGGGGAAUAUUGCACAAUGGGCGGAAGCCUGAUGCAGCAACGCCGCGUGCGGGAUGACGGCCUUCGGGUUGUAAACCGCUUUCGCCUGUGACGAAGCGUGAGUGACGGUAAUGGGUAAAGAAGCACCGGCUAACUACGUG
rnacentral:rRNA from 1 species